ensembl:lncRNA
CAAGAAUACAUUUAAAUUGGUGGAGAAACUUUGAACUGGGUGGUGUGAUUAUUGUCAAAUUGAGACAGUGGAACAUGUUAUUUUUAUUUAUUUAACUAGGUAAGACAGUUCAGAACAAAUUCUUAUUUACAAUGACGGCCUACCAGGCCAAACCUCCCCUAACCGGACGAUGCUUGUUCAAUUGUGAGCCGCACUAUGGGAUGCCCGAUCACGCCAGUUGUGAUAGAGCUCGAGAUCAAACCAGGUUCUGUAUCGAUGCCUCUAGCACUGAGAUGCAGUGCCUUAGACUGCUACGCCACUCGGGAGCCCCUCUAUUUCAGUGCCAGAAAUAUGUGAGGGAAGGGGACCGAUUGUUAUUAGAUUUGAGGAGUAACGGGGUUUAAGAGCCAGAAUUAAGUAAACUGCUGGGGAAAUGUUCAGGGGAUGUAGCAUUUAAUUAAGUAUUUCUUAGAGAAACAAGAUUAUUGGGUAGGAUUAGACCUUCACUGUCUUUGGUCCACACUUCAGUCCAGUUGAUAGUGGUAAUGCAGCUUAAAGUUGGUCGCCAACCCCCAUAUAAAAUUCACAGAAGAAGAAGAAGAUUUUAAGACCAAUGUCUUAAACGAACGUUGCUGCCUACAGUGCAGCAGUGGAGGCUGCUGGGGGGAGGACGGCUCAUAAUAAUGGCUGGAACGGAGCAAAUGGAAUGGCAUCAAACACAUGGAAACCAUGUGUUUAUGUAUUUGAUACCAUUCCACCCAUUCCGCUCCAGCCAUUAGCACAAGAUCGUUCUCCCCAAUUAAGGUGCCACCAAACUCUUGUUUGGUGCCACCUUAAUUGGGGAGAAAAGGUUAUUUCUCUACUGACCUGGUGGGCAUUGGAAUGGGCUACAGCUGUCUGGGCGAGAGGAGAGGAGGAGCUAGAUUCUUAUUAGGGGUUUAUGGCACGGUUUAAAUGCAUUUUCGAUCAUCCCGCGGAAGGCAGAGAGGGGGGUCAGCGUCUGCUUCAGCUACAGCAGGGGAAUCAGACGGCUGUUGAGUAUGCGAUCACCUUCCGGACAGUAGCAGCUUCCAGUGAAUGAAAUGAUCCGGCACUUUGCACACUAAUUCGAAGAGGUCUGCGCGAGAAUGUCCAGAGGAACUGGCCUGUCGGGACAACAACCUGACCCGGGACGCACUCAUUGCGAUGGCCAUCCGACGGCUUCUCUCCCUCCUUCGGCGAGUACUCGGGAUCAGCCCUCCUUGCCCACACAAGUACGUCAGAAUCCGGGAUCCACUAGAGCAGAGGGACAGUCACGUGAUGUUUCAUCCCCUGGAUCAGGAUGGAUUCCGGCGCUGCAGAGAACUUUAUUUUGGGGCGGCAGCGUAGCCUAGUGGUUAGAGCGUUGGACUAGUACUCAGAAGGUUGCAAGUUCAAACCCCCGAGCUGAAAAGGUCUCGAUUGUCGGCCAUUAAGAUCUGGGACCAUCACACACAUCACUCAACCACUCACCCUCGCCAUGGAGUACAAUCACCAGGAGAGCAUCUCCUUCUUCAAGUGCACCAGUUCACAAAAUCAUCCUCGGCCUCCCUUGGAUCCAACGCCAUAACCCUACAAUCUCAUGGUCGAGGAUGAAAAUCACAGACUGGUCAUCUGAAUGCCCGGAAGACCUGCUUCUCUGUCCCCUGUGGAGCCACGUCGGUUGAGAGUCCUAUAGAACUGCUGUUCCGUAUGUGCUCAAACUAAGUCCCCCCGGAAUGCUCCAGCAGGGAAGCUCCUGCCGCUUGGUCACAUCAUUGACCUUGGUCACAUCUAUCACUGACUUUGUAACCGAUCUUCCCACCUCUUGAUGGUUUCACCACCAUUCUGGUGGUAGUGGAUAGAUUUUCAAAGUCAUGUCGAUUAAUCCCUCUUCCUGGUCUCCCCACUGCUCUCCAGGUUGCUGAGGCACUCUUCCAGCAGGUCUUCUGGAAUUAUGGCCUUCCCGAGGACAUCAUCUCCGACCGUGGCCCCCAAUUCACUUCACGAGUUUGGAGGGCCUUCUUGGAGAAGCUCGGGGUUACGGUCAGCCUCACUUCCAGGUAUUAGCCUCUGUCCAACAGGCAAAUGGAGAGGAUGAACCAGGAGCUGGGGAGGUUCCUGAGGAGUCACUGUCAGGACCGGCAGGGUGAGUGGGCACGAUUUCUUCCCUGGGCAGAGUACGCCCAGAACUCCCUACGUCUCUCCUCCACUGGGUUGACCCCUUCCAGUGUGUUUUGGGUUACCAGCCGGCCCUUUUCCCGUGGAAACCGGGCCAGACCUCAGCCCCUGCGGUAGAUGAGUGGGUCCUUCCAUCGUCAGAAGGAACAGGCAUACUGCCACUGGGGACUCCAUCCUGGGGACCGCUUCUGGCUCUCUACCAGGAACAUCCCACCCCGCCUGCCCUGCCAGUAGUUCCUGGUGCCCUCACUGAUACUGUCCCCCAACGACACACCUCCACCCCCCUGGACAUUGAGGGAGGUCCGGCGUACUCUGUCAGAUCCUUAUUGAACUCCCAACGUCGUGGGGGUCGGCUCCAGUAUCUGGUGAAACUGGGAGGGAUAUGGCCCAGAGGAGCGGUGUUGGGUUCCGGUGGAGGACAUUCUGGAACCCAACCUCAUCCGUGAUUUCCACCUUCACCGCCGGGACUGACCCACUCCUCGUCCUCGGGGUUGUCCCUUUGGUCGGCGUCGUCCUGCGGCUGGAGCCGCACGUCAGAGGGGGGUACUGUCAUAUCCUUUCCUGCUCCUCCCCUCCGGCGUACGACGUCGCCAGAAUACUCACCACCGGUCCUGGGAUUCAUCAUUAUGCACACAUGGCACUCAUCAUUACGUGCAUGAAUCCCAGGACCGGUGGUGAGUAUUCUGGCGACGUCGUACGCCCGAGGGGAGGAGCAGAAAAGGAUAUGACAGAAGGGAGACAUGAAAAGAGGGUGAGAUACGAUUGUGUUUGGGUAGUUGUAACCUGUACGUCACCUCAUUGAAGGUUGUGAGUUCAAACCCCUGACAAGGUACAAAUCGUCGUUCUGCCCCUGGACAGGCAGUUAACCCACUGUUCCUAGGCCGUCAUUGAAAAUAAGAAUUUGUUCUUAACUGACUUGCCUAGUUAAAUAAAGGUUAAACAUGUUUUUUUAAAAUCAUUAUGAUUCACACCUGGACUUCAUUACCUUCAUAACUUCCUCCCCUUUAUAUGUCUCUUAUGUUUUCUCACCAGUUGGUAUUAUUAUUGUGUACCGGCAUUUAGCCACAUGCAUUUGUCUCACUCCUGGUUUUGUUGUUUUAUUAAAUGUUUCACCUGGACCCGCUUCCCAACUCACAGCUCCGUUAUUACACUUAUGUCUGCCAAAUAUAUGAAGGAGGUGAAAUGUAUUUAAGUUCAUGGUGUCAGAAUGCACUGCUGUAUUGACUUGUUCAGAACUAACUUGACACAUUCUUUUGCAGAUUCAAAGCCAGAUGAACUCAUAAUCAUUCACCAAUAAGCAUAUUUAUUUGACAAAAAUGCACCUAGUCGCCCAUCAAUCACGUCAAACACCUGAACUUCAACAAUUACAUUGUUAAAUAUUUAGUUUUCUUUAAAACAAUCUAUAUAGAUAUGCUUUUUAUUCAUAACAUAUAAACAUCUGACUUGAAGUAAAGAUUCAAUGAUUUAUUCAUCAAUGCCAAAAAGGGAUAUCGAAUAGCACCAUAUGCACUCUUAUUACUAUACAAGAGCGCAUAGAUUUUUCUGCUUUUCCAUUUUAGGAAUUAGACAAGCACAAAUAGCACAAAAUGUAAAACAGCAUAUUGUGAUUUUUGGUGUGUCACACCCUGAUCUGUUUCACCUGUUUUUGUGAUUGUCUCCACCCCCCUCCAGGUGUCGCCCAUCUUCCUCAUUAUCCCUUGUGUAUUUAUACCUGUGAACUCUGUUUGUCUGUUGCCAGUUUGUCAAGUCAACAAGCGUUUUUGUGUAAGCUCCUGCUUUUUCCCAGUCUCUCUUUUCUCAGCCUUCUGGUUUUUGACCCUUGCCUGUCCUGACCCUGUACCCACCUGCCUGACCACUCUGCCUGCCCCUAAGCCUGCCUGCCGUCCUGUACCUUUGCCCCACCUCUUGAUUACUGACAUCUGCCAGACCUGAGCCUGCUGUCCUGUACCUUUGCCCCUGUUGCUGUAAUAAACAUUGUUACUUCGA